rnacentral:rRNA from 1 species
AUUGAACGCUGGCGGCAUGCUUUACACAUGCAAGUCGAACGGCAGCGCGGGGGCAACCCUGGCGGCGAGUGGCGAACGGGUGAGUAAUGCAUCGGAACGUAUCCUGUAAUGGGGGAUAACGUAGCGAAAGUUACGCUAAUACCGCAUACGCUCGAGAGAGGAAAGUGGGGAUCGCAAGACCUCACGUUAUAGGAGCGGCCGAUGUCCGAUUAGCUAGUUGGUGGGUAAAGGCCUACCAAGGCGACGAUCGGUAGCUGGUCUGAGAGGAUGAUCAGCCACACUGGGACUGAGACACGGCCCAGACUCCUACGGGAGGCAGCAGUGGGGAAUUUUGGGACAAAUGGGGCGAAAGCCUGAUCCAGCCAUGCCGCGUGCGGGAAG